AACGAACGUUCGCGGCGCGCCUAACACAUGCAAGUCGAGCGAGAAAGGGCUUCGGCCCCGGUACAGCGGCGCACGGGUGAGUAACACGUAGGCAAUCUGCCCCUGAGUGGGGGAUAACCUUCCGAAAGGAGGGCUAAUACCGCAUGAGACCACGACCCCGCGAGGGGAUGAGGUCAAAGCCGGCCACUUCAUGAAAGCUGGCGCUUGGGGAUGAGCCUGCGGCCCAUCAGCUAGUUGGUAGGGUAAUGGCCUACCAAGGCAUAGACGGGUAGCUGGUCUGAGCGGAUGAUCAGCCACACUGGAACUGAGACACGGUCCAGACUCCUACGGGAGGCAGCAGUGGGGAAUCUUGCGCAAUGGGCGAAAGCCGGAUGCGGCGACGCCGCGUGAGUGAUGAAGGCCUUCGGGUUGUAAAGCUCUGUGGAGGGAGACGAAUAAGGCAUGGCUAACAUCCAUGUUGAUGACGGUAUCCCUUUAGCAAGCACCGGCUAACUCUGUGCCAGCCGCCGCCGUAACAC
rnacentral:rRNA from 1 species